AAAUAUGAAAAGUGUAGAAAACUUCCCUGAAUAUCGGCAUUGCAAAGCUGAAUCUUCGUGAGAGGCGUUGAAGAGGUUUGUGGCCUUGGGUAGAGUAAAUAUGGCGGCGCUGGGUAGGGCAGCGAAGUGAGUGACUUCGCUGGUCAGGACAGAGGAGAGGGUGGCUUCUCUGGACAGAGCAGCGAAGUGAGCGGCUUUGCUGAAACACGAAAACCUCCAGAAAACUGGCAGGGAAAAACCCGCCCCAAACAAAACAACAAAACAAAGAAAAACAAAACGAAACUAAAACGAAACUGAAAGAAAGGAAAACAAAACAAAGAAAAACAGUUGGGUUACCUCCCAACAAGUGCUUAAUUUAACGUCUAGAGCUCGACGAUACCUCAUGAUCUCAAUGAACAUCAAACACAG
rnacentral:lncRNA from 1 species